CGCACGGGUGAGUAACACGUAAGUAAUCUACCCUCGAGUGGGGAAUAACAACCGGAAACGGUUGCUAAUACCGCAUAAUGCAGCGGCACCGCAAGGUGACAGUUGUUAAAGAUUUAUCGCUUGAGGAGGAGCUUGCGGCAGAUUAGCUAGUUGGUAAGGUAAUGGCUUACCAAGGCUACGAUCUGUAACCGGUCUAAGAGGACGGUCGGUCACACUGACACUGAAUAACGGGUCAG
rnacentral:rRNA from 1 species